rnacentral:rRNA from 1 species
UACGUAGGUGACAAGCGGUAUCCGGAAUUACUGGGCGUAAAGCGCACGCAGGCGGCUGAUUAAGUCUGACGUGAAAUCUCCUGGCUUAACUGGGAGGGGUCGUUGGAAACUGGUUGGCUUGAGGCAGUGAGAGGGGUGUGGAAUUCCCGGUGUAGUGGUGGAAUGCGUAGAUAUCGGGAGGAAAACCAGUGGCGAAAGCGGCGCCCUGGCACUGGCCUGACGCUCAUGUGCGAAAGCGUGGGGAGCGAUCGUG